rfam:Paracoccus sp. J56 genome assembly, contig: M511DRAFT_scaffold00029.29
CAACUUGAGAGUUUGAUCCUGGCUCAGAACGAACGCUGGCGGCAGGCCUAACACAUGCAAGUCGAGCGAGGACUUCGGUCCUAGCGGCGGACGGGUG